UCUCCGUUGGUGAACCAGCGGAGGGAUCAUUACAGGACUCGCAAGACUCCUUCACCCUGUGAACCUCACUGCAAGCACGUUGCUUCGGCGGGUGUCCCGGCGGGGGUUUUCCCUUGCCGGGGCGCACAGCCCGCCGGCAGCCUACUAUACUCUGUCUCUUUGCGUUGGCAUCUCGAGAAAAAACAAACAAGUUAAAACUUUCAACAACGGAUCUCUUGGUUCUG
rnacentral:misc_RNA from 1 species